AACGGUAACGCGGGGCAACCUGGCGACGAGUGGCGAACGGGUGAGUAAAGCAUCGGAACGUGCCCAGUAGUGGGGGAUAGCCCGGCGAAAGCCGGAUUAAUACCGCAUACGACCUACGGGUGAAAGGGGGGGAUCGCAAGACCUCUCGCUAUUGGAGCGGCCGAUGUCAGAUUAGGUAGUUGGUGGGGUAAAGGCCUACCAAGCCGACGAUCUGUAGCUGGUCUGAGAGGACGACCAGCCACACUGGGACUGAGACACGGCCCAGACUCCUACGGGAGGCAGCAGUGGGGAAUUUUGGACAAUGGGCGCAAGCCUGAUCCAGCCAUGCCGCGUGCGGGAAGAAGGCCUUCGGGUUGUAAACCGCUUUUGUCAGGGAAGAAAUCUUCUGGGUUAAUACCUCGGGAGGAUGACGGUACCUGAAGAAUAAGCACCGGCUAACUACGUGCCAGCAGCCGCGGUAAUACGUAGGGUGCAAGCGUUAAUCGGAAUUACUGGGCGUAAAGCGUGCGCAGGCGGUUAUGCAAGACAGAUGUGAAAUCCCCGGGCUCAACCUGGGAACUGCAUUUGUGACUGCAUAGCUGGAGUGCGGCAGAGGGGGAUGGAAUUCCGCGUGUAGCAGUGAAAUGCGUAGAUAUGCGGAGGAACACCGAUGGCGAAGGCAAUCCCCUGGGCCUGCACUGACGCUCAUGCACGAAAGCGU
rnacentral:rRNA from 1 species